CACGCCUGUAAUCUCAGUACUUUGGGAGGCUGAGGUGGGCAGAUCACAAGGUCAGGAGAUCAAGACCAUCCUGGCCAACAUGGUGAAACCCCAUCUCUACUAAAAAUACAAAAAUUAGCUUGGCGUGGUGGCACAUGCCUGUAAUCCCAGCUACAGGGGGCAGGCUGAGGCAGGAGAAUCGCUUGAACCAGGGAGGCAGAGGUUGCAGUGAGCCAAGAUUGUGCCACUGCACUCCAUCCUGACAAUAGAGCUAGACUCUGUCAAAAAAAGAAAAAAAAGAAAAGAAAAGGAAGGAGGGAGAAAAGAGAAAAGGGAACACAGGAAGAAAGAAAGAGAGAGGAAGGAAGGAAGGAAGGAAGGAAGGGAAGGAAGGAGAGGGAAGGGAACGGAAAGGGGGAAGGAAGGAAGGAGAAGAGGGGGAGGGAAGGGGUAAGGAAGGAAGGAAGGAAGGAGAGAAGAAAAGAAAAAGAAAGGAAGGAAGGAGAAAGAAAAAGGAACACAUUGGUUCACAAAACAGUAUUCUACAAUGUUGAUGUGGUGGCUUCAGGCACAGCUGGAUCUAGAGGUUUAUAUGUCAUCCUCGAACUUGAUCAUUAUCUUCGUUCCUUGCUCUUUUUGUUUAUGUACCACUUCCCUCUCAGCAUCUCUCUCCAUAAGGCUGUGAAAAGGCCACUGUCAGCUCCAAGACCACAUCAUCUUUAUAGUUUGUGAACCUGGAGAAAGAGCACUUUCCCCAAAGGCCUUGGUGAAAGUCCCAUGGAGGAAUGCAACUGGCCUGGCUUGGAUCAUGUGCCCAUCUCUGAAUCAACUGCUGUAGCUGGGGUUGGCAAACUCUGAUUAGCCAGCCUUGGGCCACAUAACCACCCCUGGGAGGGACACAGGGAAGACAGGGCUAACCCUUCUCCAAAUAUGGACUGAGCAGCAUUUAUUACACAAUGUGAGAAGGCCUGUUUGCUAGACAGACCAACAAAAAUCAAGCCUAUACUGCAGUGUAAAGUUUGCUUCAUGUUGUGUAGUUCAGGGUCGUAGCCAUUUUUUUUGUUGUUGUUUCAUUGAUGAAAUUUACUUCUCUGUUUUUCAUUCUUUGCUGCUUUCAUUGGAUUACUGGAGAAUGCCUUUGUGCCUUUAACCAGAAGCCCUCUUUUCUUAUUUUUGAUUCCAACAAUACUAAGAGCACUCAAUAGUUUAUUAGUAAGGCUUUCAAGCCUUAGUCAUCAUUCCACAAUCUACAGUGAGGGCUAGAAGGAGAUGGGAGUAAAAGAGCAGAGUUAUUUCCAUUUUAUACAUUAGAAAACUGAGCCCCUGAAAGUGUUAAGAUACUUGCCAAAUACAGCUAAAUCAAGUGGCUGAGAGAGAACCAAACCUAAAUCCAGAGAUUCUGGCUCCUCAGGAAGAGUCCCUGACUCUCCAUAACAACUGGCUGUUCUUGGGCUUUCCUCCUAAAGAUCACAUUUCCAAACCAUGAUAGUUUGAACAUUUACACGGAAAGCCUUAACAGAUUUUUAAAGCAGGUAAAGAGAUUCAUCUGCUUUGAAAGAGAUUCCAUGGAUGGAUGGAUGGAUGGAUGGAUGGGUGGACGAACAGGUGGGUGAAUAGACAGAUGGAUGACUGCGUGGGUGGGUGGGUGGGUGGACGGAUGGAUAGAUGGGUAGAUGGGUGGGUGGAUAGGUUAAUGAAUAGAUGGAUGAAUAGAUAAAUGGGUGGAUGGAUGGGGGAUGGGUGAAUGGGUGCAUGGAUAGGUGGAUGGGUAGACGAAUGGGUAGAUGGGUAUAUGGAUGGAUGAAUGGAUGGGUGGAUAGGUGGAUGGGUAGGUGCUAGCUGCAUGGGUAGACGGAUGGGUAGAUAUAUGGAUGGGUGGAUGGGUAGAUGGAUGGAUAGAUGGAUGGAUGAAUGGAUGGGUGGAUAGGUGGAUGGAUGGGUGAAUGGGUGGAUGGAUGGGGAGAUAUAUGGAUGGGUGGAUGGGCAGAUAGAUGGAUGGGUGGAUAGGUGGGUGGAUGGGUGAAUGGGUGGAUAGAUGGGUAGAUAUAUAGAUGAGCGGAUGGAUGGAUGGAUGGAUGAAUGGAUGGGUGGAUGACAGAUGGGUGGGUAGGUAGAUGGAUGGGUGGAUGGAUGGGCAGAUGAGUGGAUGAGUAGAUGGGUGAAUGGGUAGAUGGAUAGGUGGAUGGGUAUGUGGAUGGAUGGAUGAAUGGACAGUUGGAUGGGUGGAUGAAUGGGUGUGUGGGUGGAUGUAUGGGUAGAUAUGUCGAUGGGUGGAUAGGUAGAUGGGUGAAUGGGUGGAUGGAUGGAUGGAGCAUACACACAUUUUGUUAAUGGCAGCUGCAUUACUUUCAAUCCAUAUAGUAAUACAAAGCAAGUGAUGGUGAAGUAUUCCUGAGGAGCAAGUCUGCCGGACCUUAAAUGAAUCCCUAAAUGGGCAUAUGGAGACUAUCAUAACUGACACAAGGUUUGAGGAUGACAGUUCCGUAAGUGCUUGAGAGUGUGUUCUCUUUUGUAAAGUUAAAUAGUCCUCUAAAACAUUGUUUACAAUGAUACUUUGUCUAGCAAAUCCUUUUUCCACCAUAACCAGCAUAAAGUUGAACUCCAUUCCAUCCAUAUUCAGAUAUUCCAUCAAUAUCUGAAUUAUCCAUAUUAUAAAUGAGGGUAUACAAUUAUUGCAGUUUCAUGCAAACAAAAUGCUCCUUCCUCUCCCAGCCAGAUAAACACACACCACACAGGUGACCGCUGUCACACUGGACAGGCCUGCAAGGCCCCCACACUGGGAGUGUGUCCUCACCCACUCUCUCCCCUUUCCACGGUCUACUUACACACUCCUUCUCAACCCUCCCUGCUCCUGCCAGCCCAGCUCACUGACAAUUUCCACUUUAUGGUCUAAAGAUGAAAAAAUGUUAAUUGAGGGAAGGGCUCUACCAUCAAAACUGGGAAUACUCCACUGCAUAGCAAAGAUCAUUUCUUGGAAUUAGUCACUUAAAUGUUUACAAGAAACAAUUAUCAAGUGUCCCAGACUGAUUCAUUAACAUCAUUAAUGAAAGAAUUGCUAAGAGUUUCUGUUUUUUGGUUUAUUUUAAUCCUACUACGUAAACUUUUUUUUUGGCACCACUCCAACAAAAUUCCACCCAACGAUUAAAGGAGGUAAAGAUUCAUAAAGCAAAACUGUUACUGAAAGUUAACCUUGCCAGGGUACAUUGCAAACCCAACUUAGACACAAUCCUUAUAUGAUGCAAAAGCCGUCCUAACAAAACACAAAGAAAACAAUUAGUGCUAUUGCCAAUGCCUCAUAAUUUUGGACAGUGAGGAAGAAGUGCUAACUGAUUUGUCUUUUGCUGUUUGUGGGAUAAAAUAUAUAAAUGAAAAUGCCCCUGCUGUCCCAGAAUGAGGAAGACAUAAUGAACUCUGGCUUUCCAGAUUAUUCUGCCACAUCUGAAGGUUUGCAAAUAAACAAAUUAAAUAGCUCUUGUCUGGUUUUUCUAGUCAACUUUCAUUACUGUAAGGAUGGAUGCAGCAAGAUAAAUGUUUCCUUUUUACUUCAGUACUGAAAGAAACACAAGUUUUCCUGCUGCCUUUUAUGUUUAAGCUCUGAGGUCCACAGCCUAUUCUUAUUCACCAACUGGAAACGAUUUGUCUGCAAUGGCCAGUUUGAUGUUUUCUACUCAACUCCCAAAGUCCCAAUUUGAAGUCGUUCUCUUCCACUUAAGGAGACAUUUCAUUUUUCCUUUAAUUUAAAAAAAUGUUCUGAAUGUGAAAUGACAUUACAAGGACUACUAGGUUGCUUAAUAUAAAUUCCGUGUGUGUGACACUCUUCAGGCUGUGUCAGCAGACAAGGUCGGUUCAGCUAAACAAGCUGGCAAGCAGCCACUUGGGGGAAAAGUUUUAAGCAUGCUACAUGUGUCCAAGCCAAAGUCAGACCCGAAAUCUAACGUGAGUGUAAGAAAUACUUGAUCUUAAAAUGGCCCAUGGAAUUUAAUCUUGUUAAGCAAAUCUGAAGCGGGCAGUUAUCCAUGAUGACCCAAUGGAAAGUCCUAGAAAAAAAAUCUUAAACUGAGUGACCUUGUCCAGUUCAAGACAUUCUGCCUCUCUUAGCAUCAUUACUGGCUGGGACUGGAAAACAGAGCCUGUUCUCUCCACUGUUUCCCCCAUUCCAGCCACCAAAUACUCAAGGUUUCUUCAGUAAAAUACCAGGGUAAGAAUUCACAGUCCAAACAGCAAGCAUUUCUCCACAGAUCCUUAAUAUGGUAGGAAGAUUGAUUCUCAAGGAAACCCUAUCUAGGAACAUGGUAUGAAAUAAAGCAAUUCCCAAUCAUUCAUUUAUGAGGGGCCAAUGGAGGGAUCUCACAGAUAACUGAAAUCUACAGGACUCUUCUGUUUUAGCCAUUAGUUUGCAAAAUAAAUAUUUAAUCCAAGAUCUACUGAAGAAUAAAAUAAGUGUCCACUCUUGUGGAGUUAAGGACUGUGAACUAACCCAAAGGGAGAUAAUAGGAGAUUCCAGGCCAGGCAAGAAUCCCAAAUAACAUACAAACGGAAUGAUCAGUCAUCACUCAAGGGAUGGCUGGAAUAGUCCAACUAAAUCUUAUUCUGAUAGUCCUACAGAAGCAGCACUUUGACAGUCAUGAAUAAAAGUGUUCUUGAGUAUUAUAUAAGGAAUGAUACAAAAAUCAACUCCAUUUGGCCAUGAGAAGUAGUCUCUCCUAUUCAUGUACCCUUAACAUAAAAUUUGCUUACAUAAAAGAGAAAAAGCAAACCAAUCAUCUAUAUAAAAUAGAGAAGAAACUGGUAAAUGAUAUCGUUAUCCUGACCAGAAAAUUAAAUAAAAAGAAUACUGACCCUCCACUCUUGAGAUGAGAUGGUAAAGAUGUUGUUCCUUUGAACAUUUCUUGCUCCUUUAUUUCACUGAAGCCUCCAUCAUCAGUUAGCUGAAGUGGGUGACUCUUUAAGUGGCAAAUAGCAUUUGAUUUUGUUAAAUAAAUCCCAUUUAUUUUCACCAUAGAGUCCCCCAUCAUAACUGUUUC
rnacentral:lncRNA from 1 species